rnacentral:rRNA from 1 species
AUUGAACGCUGGCGGCAUGCCUUACACAUGCAAGUCGAACGGUAACGCGGGGCAACCUGGCGACGAGUGGCGAACGGGUGAGUAAUAUAUCGGAACGUGCCCAGUAGUGGGGGAUAGCCCGGCGAAAGCCGGAUUAAUACCGCAUGAGACCUGAGGGUGAAAGCGGGGGAUCGCAAGACCUCGCGCUAUUGGAGCGGCCGAUAUCAGAUUAGGUAGUUGGUGGGGUAAAGGCCUACCAAGCCGACGAUCUGUAGCUGGUCUGAGAGGACGACCAGCCACACUGGGACUGAGACACGGCCCAGACUCCUACGGGAGGCAGCAGUGGGGAAUUUUGGACAAUGGGCGCAAGCCUGAUCCAGCCAUGCCGCGUGCGGGAAGAAGGCCUCGGUU